AACGCGAAGAACCUUACCUACCCUUGACAUGUCAGGAAGCCUGGUUAAGCGCUAGGCGUGCCGAAAGGAACCUGAACACAGGUGCUGCAUGGCUGUCGUCAGCUCGUGUCGUGAGAUGUUGGGUUAAGUCCCGUAACGAGCGCAACCCUUGUCCUUCGUUGCCACCCAGAAAUGGGGAACUCGAAGGAGACUGCCGGUGAUAAACCGGAGGAAGGUGGGGAUGACGUCAAGUCAUCAUGGCCUUUAUGGGUAGGGCUACACACGUGCUACAAUGGGGCGAGACAGAGGGAAGCGAACCUGCGAAGGGGAGCAAAUCCUAGAAAACGCCUCGUAGUCCGGAUCGGAGUCUGCAACUCGACUCCGUGAAGUUGGAAUCGCUAGUAAUCGCGGAUCAGAAUGUCGCGGUGAAUACGUUCCCGGGCCUUGUACACACCGACUGUAC
rnacentral:rRNA from 1 species